GAUGAACGCUGGCGGCGUGCCUAAUACAUGCAAGUCGAGCGAAUGGAUUAAGAGCUUGCUCUUAUGAAGUUAGCGGCGGACGGGUGAGUAACACGUGGGUAACCUGCCCAUAAGACUGGGAUAACUCCGGGAAACCGGGGCUAAUACCGGAUAACAUCUUGAACCGCAUGGUUCGAAAUUGAAAGGCGGCUUCGGCUGUCACUUAUGGAUGGACCCGCGUCGCAUUAGCUAGUUGGUGAGGUAACGGCUCACCAAGGCAACGAUGCGUAGCCGACCUGAGAGGGUGAUCGGCCACACUGGGACGGAGACACGGCCCAGACUCCUACGGGAGGCAGCAGUAGGGAAUCUUCCGCAAUGGACGAAAGUCUGACGGAGCAACGCCGCGUGAGUGAUGAAGGCUUUCGGGUCGUAAAACUCUGUUGUUAGGGAAGAACAAGUGCUAGUUGAAUAAGCUGGCACCUUGACGGUACCUAACCAGAAAGCCACGGCUAGCUACGUGCCAGCAGCCGCCGCCG
rnacentral:rRNA from 1 species